AAGUGGAGUUUGAUCCACAAAACAGACAGAUUGUCUUCAUCUUCAAGAUGCUGUCAGUGAACUUGAGUCUGUUUGUCACUUUGUUUCUGCUCACAAUAAGAGAGUGCAAAGCAGAAGACAAAGUGACACAGCCACCAGAAGAUAUCAUUGCUGCUGAAGGAGAUACAGUUACACUGGAAUGUACUUUUGAGAGCAGUUACACAACAGCACAACUAAAUAUGCUGUGGUACAAACAAGAAGUAAAUGGCUUUCCAAAGUACAUUUUAAGACGUGGUGCUUAUGGAGAUGAUAAUGCGCCAGAGUUCCAUAAAGACAGAUUUGAUGCUCAAGUCAACAAGAAAUCAGUUCCACUGAAGAUCCAGAAGCUUCAGCUGUCUGACUCUGCUGUGUACUACUGUGCUCUGAAGCCCACAGUGACAGGAAACAGCAAAACUCUGUACAAAAACCUUUGGAGCAAAGACAGCAGAAAAAUCAACUACAUCCACUAG